rnacentral:lncRNA from 1 species
GACGCUCCCCACCACGAGCACCUUCAGCCUCCUCAACUGCUUCCCCUGCCCCCCGGCCCUGGUGGUGGGGGAAGACGGAGACCUAAAGCCGGCAUCCUCGCUUCGCCUCCAGGGAGACUCUAAGCCCCCGCCCGCCCACCCGCUGUGGAGGUGGCAGAUGGGGGGUCCCGCUGUCCCUGAGCCCCCUGGCCUCAAAUUCUGGGGGAUCAACAUGGAUGAAAGCUGACCGUGGGACUUCUGCCAAAGGGGAAAAGUUGGGACCAUGGCCAAACCGCGGGCUUGAGGAGGGAGCCCCGUUUCUCACAUUUGUCCCCUUCCUUUACAUUUUAGGAGCUGUGGGCAGAGGGACCUAAAUAACAGUGAUCUUCAUUCAAGCACCUAAGUUUUCGGGGUGACAGUCCCUCCCCCUCAUCCUUUGCAGAGGAACCCAGGGCUGGAGUCGGGAGAAGGCUGAUGACAUAGAUUCCAAUCCCUGCCUCCUUCCAUCUCGGACCGUUGGAGGCAGGGCCUGCACCCCAGUGGGAGCAAAGGAGGCCACCGCUCAAAGACACCCCCCCACCCAAAAAAAAGGGGAGAAGAGAGAGACCUCGGUGAUGGACAAACCGGUUGUUACUGUGUCUGUGGGCGAGCCUGGGGUGCGGGGCUGUGGUGGGGGUGGGGAGAUGAUUGGCAGCUCCCUGGGGGCAUCCCCCACCCCCACUGUCCAGGCCUUUAACCCUUUGCUCCCCUCAGGCCUUCCCUAACGCUCCAAGCACCGCUGGAGCCUUUAAUGGGUGAGGGAACUUGGGUAAGAGGAAGAUCACCCCCUUCCUGUCCCCUUUCUAGGCCCCCUCAAGUGCAGGUGACCCUUAAUUGGUGAGAUCUUCAGCCUCAGCCGCCGACCUUUCCCUUUUGUCCAGUUUUGGAGUUCCCGUUUUUUCCUUGUUUGCUUUCCGAGUGUAAGGUCUGGCCGGUGAGAAAGAUUUCCCCCAACCUUGAUUAAUCAGCCCCCUCCCCCAACUUACUUCCCUUAGGACGGGUAGGGCUGAGGGACCUCCUCUCCUGGAAAGUGCUUACUUUGCCUGGGGAAGGGGCUAGACACUGUCCCAGGGAAAGUAAUAGAAGGUGGAAGAAAUCAAUAAAAUCAGACCAAACAAGUCGCCUUUCGAGGGCCUCCACCGAUUUAUGGAUGAGAGGGGGUGGAGGUGGAAGGCAGGCCCAAGUCCAUUCUUUGGACACCCAAACUCAGCCCCCUUAAAGAGUGGAAACAAAACAAGCUGCACUUUGCAGAGGUGGUAAAUGAAAGGACUCUUGGCCUAACUUCAAGAGUCCCCUG